AGUGGUUCACUUUAAAGGCAUUUCUCUAUCCACAAGAACUCAUUCAACAAUACUGGUUGAACCAAAGGUACCUAGAGCAGAACACCUAAAAGAAUGGGCGAAAGAACAUCGUGACACACUUGACGCAUUGAAAAGAUGUCGAGACUACAACAAUGCUGCAAUCAAACUUGCAAAUCCAGAAAAAGAAGAAAUUAAAAAAAUAGCGACCGUUCCACCAUUCAUUAAUCCUUCUCAACCUGCUUG